UGCAAAUACCAUAUACGCAAGUUUUGAACAAAUAUCACACAUAUUCCCCAGUUGACUUGUGAUGAUAUUGAUAAUGGUGGUGGUGGUGUUAUCAUGUACAUGGCUUCUAACGUAGUAAGUGUUUUCUUUUCAGCAACAUUCAAUAGAUUUAUUUACUGUAUUAUCAUUUCGACCAAGGCGAAUUCGACACUUCAAUUACACAAGCACAAUCAAACUUAGUCAUUCCAGUCAGUUACUGAAGCACAGCGAAAACUGUCUGAAUUAGUGCUGCUGAUGGCAUGUAAUUACUCUACUACCACUACCAGUGACAGUCAAUGUCCAUAUAUUUUCAAGUGUGCGAAAUUAGUACUCGUCUACUUCUUAGUGUUAUUUGAAUGCAAUGUAUGUUAUAAAAAUAUUUUUUCAACACUAUAUCAACAUUCUCAUUCCUGUCAGUUUCUGAAAAUCAGCUAAAGCAAUCGCUACCAAUGCAGCUGAUAACAGCAAUUCUUUUUGUUCCCAAUGCCCAUCCAUGACAAUAUAUUUCACGCAUGUGACAAUCAUGGUAUCAUCCUGUUUUUUGUGUUCUAUUCAUGCAAUAAAUAAAUUCAGUAUUUUCAAAUCAUUGGUGCUACAAAACUAUUCUCAUUAUAGAUUAUUCAUAUUUUAUAAAAUGCUGUCAUGUCAAAUUUUGUGUCCUAUAAAUCAUUAUGAAGUCGGCAUUUUAUGCAAUGUAUGUUAUAAAAAUAUUUUUUCAACACUAUAUCAACAUUCUCAUUCCUGUCAGUUUCUGAAAAUCAGCUAAAGCAAUCGCUACCAAUGCAGCUGAUAACAGCAAUUCUUUUUGUUCCCAAUGCCCAUCCAUGACAAUAUAUUUCACGCAUGUGACAAUCAUGGUAUCAUCCUGUUUUUUGUGUUCUAUUCAUGCAAUAAAUAAAUUCAGUAUUUUCAAAUCAUUGGUGCUACAAAACUAUUCUCAUUAUAGAUUAUUCAUAUUUUAUAAAAUGCUGUCAUGUCAAAUUUUGUGUCCUAUAAAUCAUUAUGAAGUCGGCAUUUUAUAUACAACUUUUGUACUCCUAAAUAAACAUACAAAUCUUGUUUUAUGUAAACUUUGUACAUGUGACCCGUCACAGCAAAACCAGGCGCAUGUCGCUCUGAGCUUGGCAGGUUGAGACGGACUGUUUGUUCAUUUAUCUAUUGUCUGCCUUUUGUAAAAUAUGAGCACAUCAAUUUCUUCCAUUAUCUCCUGGUGUCAUUUAGGCUCAUCUUCUGUGCGACAUGUACCUGGUUUUGCUGUGACGGGUCACAUAUUCUAUAGAUAUACAACACUCUAAUGUCACAAUGCCUCUCUCACUCGCUUUUAUAGAGCAAGAUGUAUGAAUAAACAUGACACACCAACUAUGUACAAAAUUGGUAACAAACUGCACCAUUUGUCAGUACACCACAUGAAAUACAGAGAUAUGUCUUAAUUCUAAUCUUUCAUUAGCGACACCAUUUCUUACCCGAGUGCCUCCUUCAUUCAUACAUCUUGUACUUUAACUCGAGAUACCCAUCUUUGAAUAUUUUUAGUAUACCAAGUACUACAAUGUCAAUGUAUUGAAGUCAUGUUCUUGUAGUGUUAUUGGCUUUCUAUUAUCUUGUCAAAAUACCACUUGGUUCUCGCAAAAUCUCAAUAAAAACAAAUGCUAUUGCAUGUAUUGCAUAUUCUAACAGCUAUCCACUGUAUCGAUUUAUCCAUCAUCUGUACUAUUUGUCACAAAAAUGUUAUAUUAUGUAAAUCAUAUUUCAUUACAUAAUGCACACUGCCAAGUACUGCUGAACCAUUUAUAUGUCAUUUAAAUAAAUAAUUUUCAACUUUUUAAAA